ensembl:lncRNA
AAAAAGUAUGAAACCAAAGAAAGUGGAAUACUAAAAUCCCAAGAAAACUGUAGAAAAGUUUGGAAGAAACACAUUAGCUUUCUCAGGGGAAAACAGUAACACGUUGGGGGCAGUUUAAAUGAAGCCUAUAGGUUUGCCUUUUUUUAGCUUCAUCACCCAUGUGACGCUCAAGAGUUCAGCGUGUGGGUCCAGGUAUUUCUGCCAACACAAAGAAUUCAUUACAGCCUUUUGGAAAGGCGCAUCAUUCUGACUGUCUCAGCUUAUUCCCUUCGCUCUCCCCAAGAGCUGUUAACCCCAGGUACACUUUGAUUCUCUUUACGCACAUCCUCGCAGAUGGGAUCCUUUCUCAGUCUUUGGAUUUCUCCUUCGGAUCAAAACCACUGCUGAUGGAGCCAGUGGGCUGCCGGGUGUGGGAAGAAUUUUCAGGCUCUGCACAUCAGGCUUGCAGCUUAAUAACUGAUUAAGUGCACCUUGCAGUGAGAGUACAAAGGAAUGAAGUAUAUUGCUGUAUUCUGGCAUGCAAGUCAUCAAGUUAGUGCACCUGACUGAGUGCGACUCGAGGCAGAGCUUCUGUGAGGACUCAUAGACAUUAUGAAACAGUCAGAAGGCCAAGCCAGGAUGGGAACCCCACUGAGCCAUGCACUGUGCACACACGCAUACAAGAAACUUCAUUUUCUUGCUCUUUGGACUGCUGGGAUCCCAUAAUAACUCAUCAAACUAUUGCUCAACUAUAGAACAAAUCCUUUGAAGCUUCUGUAUAAUAAAAACGAGUGCAUAGGUUGAAUUUCUCAUUGGAACAGAAAACAGUCACCCUCACCUCUGAAUGAUUUAGUUGUUUGUUUUCCUAGAUAGUCCGAGGUUUGAUACUUUUCAGUCCUUUAUUUGUAAUUAAUUUUAUGGAUGUAACAACCAUUUAUAUCCUCUGAUGGAAAAAAAAUGGCAAGCAUUUUGGUAACUGUCCACCAUGGGACAAUUUCUGACAGCAGGUCAGGAGUUGCAAGAAUAAGCAAUGAUAUCCUCCGUGAAGAAAGCUUGUAUCGGUCAGUACAGCAGGCACACAGGAAAGUCUGGAGCUUCUUCCAGACUCCUCAUUUCUUCAGCUGCCACAGAAUCCUACCUUCUCUUAACUCCCUGAAUCUUGUUCUGUAUGUUAAGGUUCUUGUGAAAUCCUUCCUUUCACAGUUCCAUAAAAAUAAGCUAUCAUAUGCCUAUUAUGAAAGCCUACCCUCCCUUGUCUAGUAACUGAAACAGGUCAAGACAAAAGGUAAGGGAUGUAAAAUACCAAUUCCACUCUUCCAGAACAGAGGGCUGAGGCAGAGACUAGGUAAAUAGUUCAAGGACACAGCUUCCACCAUUGGUGAGGGAACCUAAACAGAGUCACUGAAGCUCACAGGAAGCUACAGGAGCCAUAGAGGAAGAGACAAGCGGACUUUCGUACCAGAUUCAAUUUCAUGGUAGGUCAGAAUGCUGUCAAAAUAAACUGACAUUCAGGAGAGGCAGAAAGAUAGAAGUUCUGCAGGAAAGUCAGGAUACACAAAAAAGAAUCAUGGAAACCUAAAAGAUGCAUAGCACAGAUCCUGAUCUGCUUAAGUACACUGAGGAAACAAAGUGAUAGAAAUAAGAGUGGGCUUUUUUCCUUUUCUCUGAUGUACCUUCCAAGUAAAGAGUGAAUGUGUUAAAAGUCACAUGUAAUGUCUGGGCCCUGUGUUUGGCCAUUAUUAGGUCUCUGAAAGUGCAAACAGUGACCAUGCGGUAUGCUCUAGGCAACAUGCAGAAGUUCCUUGAGUGGUUUCAUGGAGAUGUUUUAAGUUUCAGGGAUUGGACAUUUAAACCCUCACCAUGAGAAAAGACAACAGGCACAACAUUGGCCCCCUGCAGAUCAUGCAGAAGCUGAUGCUGUUUGUUAUUAGUUUGCUAGGGACUGCAAAUGAACAAGUAACUCAGCCUCUAAGUAAAUCUGGUGAAUAUCCAGCAAGGGGAACUUUUAUCAUUCUUCAAGAUAUCAGCAGACACAUCCUUAACCAAAGCUAUCAACUCAUUACAUUUGAAACACUUGCUUAAAAGAUUGGGCACGCUGCAGCUUCAAAGAAAUGGGUGGAAAAUACUUUACAUAGUAAAGAUUAUUUUUUUUUUCCUUGAGAAAUUGAUUGACUGUUGGUAUUUUAUGUGGACACCCACAGCCACAAAAUCACCUUAGGGCAGAGACUCAGCACAAAAAUUUACAGCGCAAGCAAUCUGUUGGCAAACUAACAAACAAUAGAAAUCAGAAUUUUAUGCUUGGAAACAUCAAGCAGGCAUGGUUAUCCAUACUGCUCAGAUGUGUAGUGCAUAUCACGUGUCAUGUUCUCAGAUAGCUUUAAAAUCUAGCUUAUUAUCUCCGCAUGCUUCACGUAACUCCAUCUAUUAUUCUACACUUCUUUUUGUUGCUGUUGUAUGCAGCCAUCAACAUUUCACAGAAGUUAGUUAAGCUGUUGUUCACCGUGUUGCCUAACAUCCCCCACGUGUCUUUGCAUGCGUUUGCACUACUGUCUGCAGCAGGUGCUAGCCAAACCAGCACUGAGAACAAUGCAGAUGUCUGCCCAGACUGGAGUGCGCUACCAAAAUUCUUUGGUCAUUGGAUGGUCAUAGAAACAUCAGUAAUUUGAGAUCUGCAGUGUUGAGCAGUGUUCAGUGACCUCUACGCUAACGCUGCCGCUUUGCCUGUUGCUGUAUUUUAGGCCCACAUAACCAGCAUGAUGGAAUUAGGACUACUUCUCUCAAGAUCCAGUUCACAACUCACUUUUGCAGGUUUCUGGAGUCACUGCUGCAGAGCUCAUUUUGUGCAGCGUCAAUUUUUUUGGCCUUGUUUUAAAUAAUGAUUGCUGGAGCAAGAAUAUGUUGCAUCUGAAUAUUGGUGAGACAGGAAUGCAGCCAGAACAACCAAGGAACAAAAGUUUUAGGCAGCUUUCCAUAUCUACAGUAAAGCUCAAAUCUCUAGCAAAAUUAUCUAAGGAAUUCAGGCUGAGAACAAAUGAAAAAGAAAUGACACAGAUAUGGCUGUACUGUAGCUGAAAGAAAGGCUCGUGAUUUGGGACAAGGUUUCCAGCACAGUUAUAUCACUGCAUUGCUUUUAUUCCUGAAAAAAACCUGAGUCAACAUAGUGCCAGCAGCAGCUGCCUUCCUAUUCUCACUCUCUGGCAGUCUGGGUAAGGGAGUCUUAUCUUGAAGAGUCUGAUCUGAAGGCAUUGCCCACCAUCACCCAUUCAAGAGCUCCAUGAAAUAAUUAUGAUUCUCUACCCAGGGGUCAAAAUGUUGCACAUACUCCCACCCAGUAUUUUAAUUAUUUGGUGCCUCAGCUAUGUUAUAAAUUGUAAGAAUAUAUAAGGAUAUCUGUGUUUCCUAUUACAGUAUCAUCUCACAGGGCAAACAUCUCAAAAGCUGUGGCUAUUUCAGCUUUAAUAGUGCCUGGCCAACAUAUGAUGUACAGUGGUUGGUUUCUGAGUUUUUUAUUUUUUUCUUUAGUUAGGGAAUUAGUAUGGUUCCUUUUUCUGCCUGCAGUUGCUGACUUCCAAGAAACU